rnacentral:rRNA from 1 species
UACGUAGGGUGCGAGCGUUAAUCGGAAUUACUGGGCGUAAAGCGUGCGCAGGCGGUUUUGUAAGCCAGUUGUGAAAUCCCCGGGCUUAACCUGGGAAUGGCAUUUGGGACUGCAAGGCUUGAGUGCGGCAGAGGAGACUGGAAUUCCUGGUGUAGCGGUGAAAUGCGCAGAUAUCAGGAGGAACACCGGUGGCGAAGGCGGGUCUCUGGGCCGUAACUGACGCUGAGGAGCGAAGGCCAGGGGAGCAAACGGG